GUUAAGCGACUAAGCGUACACGGUGGAUGCCCUGGCAGUCAGAGGCGAUGAAGGACGUGCUAAUCUGCGAUAAGCGUCGGUAAGGUGAUAUGAACCGUUAUAACCGGCGAUUUCCGAAUGGGGAAACCCAGUGUGUUUCGACACACUAUCAUUAACUGAAUCCAUAGGUUAAUGAGGCGAACCGGGGGAACUGAAACAUCUAAGUACCCCGAGGAAAAGAAAUCAACCGAGAUUCCCCCAGUAGCGGCGAGCGAACGGGGAGCAGCCCAGAGCCUGAAUCAGUGUGUGUGUUAGUGGAAGCGUCUGGAAAGGCGCGCGAUACAGGGUGACAGCCCCGUACACAAAAAUGCACAUGCUGUGAGCUCGAUGAGUAGGGCGGGACACGUGGUAUCCUGUCUGAAUAUGGGGGGACCAUCCUCCAAGGCUAAAUACUCCUGACUGACCGAUAGUGAACCAGUACCGUGAGGGAAAGGCGAAAAGAACCCCGGCGAGGGGAGUGAAAAAGAACCUGAAACCGUGUACGUACAAGCAG
rnacentral:rRNA from 1 species